rnacentral:rRNA from 1 species
UACAGAGGUCUCAAGCGUUGUUCGGAUUCAUUGGGCGUAAAGGGUGCGUAGGCGGCGCGGUAAGUCGGGUGUGAAAUCUCGGAGCUUAACUCCGAAACUGCAUUCGAUACUGCCGUGCUUGAGGACUGGAGAGGAGACUGGAAUUUACGGUGUAGCGGUGAAAUGCGUAGAUAUCGUAAGGAAGACCAGUGGCGAAGGCGGGUCUCUGGACAGUUCCUGACGCUGAGGCACGAAGGCCAGGGGAGCAAACCGG